UACGUAGGGGGCAAGCGUUGUCCGGAUUCAUUGGGCGUAAAGAGCUCGUAGGCGGCCUGUUAAGUCGAACGUGAAAUCCCCAGGCUCAACCUGGGAACUGCGUCCGAUACUGGCAGGCUUGAAUCCGGGAGAGGGAUGCGGAAUUCCAGGUGUAGCGGUGAAAUGCGUAGAUAUCUGGAGGAACACCGGUGGCGAAGGCGGCAUCCUGGACCGGUAUUGACGCUGAGGCGCGAAAGCCAGGGGAGCAAACGGG
rnacentral:rRNA from 1 species